GCCUACGGGGGGCAGCAGUGAGGAAUAUUGGUCAAUGGUCGGGAGACUGAACCAGCCAAGCCGCGUGAGGGAGGAAGGUACAGAGUAUCGUAAACCUCUUUUGUCAGGGAACAAAGGCGGGGACGUGUCCCCGGAUGAGUGUACCUGAAGAAAAAGCAUAGGCUAACUCCGUGCCAGCAGCCGCGAUAAUACGGAGGAUGCGAGCGUUAUCCGGAUUUAUUGGGUUUAAAGGGUGCGCAGGCGGUCUGUUAAGUCAGCGGUCAAAGCCCGGGGCUCAACCCCGGCCCGCCGUUGAAACUGGCAGG
rnacentral:rRNA from 1 species